rnacentral:rRNA from 1 species
CCUACGGGAGGCAGCAGUGAGGAAUAUUGGUCAAUGGACGAGAGUCUGAACCAGCCAAGUAGCGUGAAGGAUGACUGCCCUAUGGGUUGUAAACUUCUUUUAUAUGGGAGUAAAAUGUUCCACGUGUGGGAUUUUGUAUGUACCAUAUGAAUAAGGAUAGGCUAACUCCGUGCCAGCAGCCGCGGUAAGACGGAGGUUCCGAGCGUUAUCCGGAUUUAUUGGGUUUAAAGGGAGCGUAGGGGGAUUGUUAAGUCAGUUGGGAAAGUUUGCGGCUCAACCGUAAAAUUGCAGUUGAAACUGGCAGUCUUGAGUACAGUAGAGGUGGUCGGAAUUCGUGGUGUAGCAGUGAAAUGCUUAGAUAUCACGAAGAACUCCGAUUGCGAAGGCAGCUCACUGGACUGCAACUGACACUGAGGCUCGAAAGUGUGGGUAUCAAACAGGAUUAGAUACCCCUGUAGUC